AGAAACACUAUACCCUGCAAGACGGAGGUAACAAACUGCACAAACACAAUCAAACUUUUUCAGAUGUUUACUCAUACAAUUACAACACUUACAUUUGUUUACAACUUUGAAUUGAAUUGGAGAAAGCUUUCGUUAGAAAGAGAAAAAAUAUUGCCACUGUAAGCAUAUUGAUAUAAUAAUAUGCUAAAAGAAGACAGAUAUGACAUUAAAAAAAGAAAAACUGAAAUUGAAGCCGCAAUUUGGCCAUUUUAUAAAAAAAUUGUCGCUUGAAGAGGUAAGGUUAUUUUUGGUUAAAUUUUAUUAUUAAUAUUAAUUGAUUUUAAUUUUUAUGCAGGAGAUAUAUAAAAGUAUUCAAUUAAAAAGGCAAAAUCAACGCACAAAGACCGGGACUUGAUACAAAAGAAAAUGUGUUAGAUGCCUGGAUGCUGGGAUGGAAUUUCUUGAUAUGUUGUUAGCAGGUUUGCGUAAGGUGUAUCCAGUCCACACCCAACAUUGUUAAAAUAUAUACAUAUAUUUAGAAUAAGAAUAAAAUAAGAUUAUAUAUCAUUUGAAUUUGUUAAAUUAGAACAUAAAUUGCAUAAAUAUAAUAAUUUAUAUAUAAAUGUAAUUUUUAUAUUAAUAACUUGUAAAUGUAAAAAUUUAAUAAUAAGUUUAACUGUUUAAGUUUAUAUGAUUGUAUUA